rnacentral:lncRNA from 1 species
AGGUGGAAGCCAAGGGGGCGUGGCGAUUGGUCAACAAAGAUGGAGGCCAGCAGGUCAUGGAGACCAAGCAACAAAGAUGGUGGCCAACGCAAGGCGGUGAUUGGUCAACGAAGGUGAAGGCCAACGAGAUGCAGUGAUUGGUCAACGAAGGUGGAGGCCAGGUCAUGGAGCUCAAGCAACGGAAAUGGUGGCCAAGGACCAAGCAACAAAGAUGGUGGCCAACGAGAUGCAGCGAGAUGCAGUGAUUGGUCAACGAAGGUGGAGGCCAGCAGGUCAUGGAGACCAAGCAAUCAGGAUGGUGGCCAAGGGGACAGGGCGAUUGGUCAACGAAGGUGGAGGCCAAUGGGAUGCAGUGAUUGGUCAACGAAGGUGGAGGCCAGCAGGUCAUGGAGACCAAGCAACCAGGAUGGUGGCCAAGGGGACGCAGUGAUUGGUCAACGAAGGUGGAGGCCAGCAGGUCAUGGAGACCAAGCAACCAGGAUGGUGGCCAAGGGGACGCAGUGAUUGGUCAACGAAGGUGGAGGCCAACAGGUCAUGGACACCGAGCAACAAAGAUGGCGGCCAAGGGGACGCGGUGAUUGCUCAAGAUGAUGGUGGCCAGCAGGUCCCGGACACUGAGCAACCAAGAUGGCAGCUGAGGGGAUGCAGUGAUUGCUCAACGAAGACGGCACUCAAAGCAAUGCGCUGAUUGGUCAAUGAAGACGGUAGCUAAAGAGAUGUCACGAUUGGUCAACAAACAUGGAGACCAGCAGAUCCUGGAGACCGAGCAACAAAGAUGGAGGCUGAACGGAGCAUAGUAAUUGGUCAACAAAGAUGGUGGCCAGCAGGUCCCGGAGACCGAGCAACCAAGAUGGAGGGCAAACGGACGGGGCGAUCGGUCAACGAAGAAGCUCGCCAGCAGGUCCCGGAGACCGAGCAACGAAGGCGGAGACUGAGGGGGACGCGGUGAUUGGUCAGCGAAGACGGCGGCCAACGGCUCGCGAAGAGCCAGCAGCGAAGGCGUCGGCCAAGGGAGCACGAAGAAAGGUCCGCGAAGGCGCCGGCCAGCGUUCGGCGGCGGGCGGGCGGUCACAUCUUCUUGAGGCGCUCCUCGAGGGCCUCCAGCUCGCCCAGCACCUCCUUGGGCAGGUCGGAGCCGAACUGCUCGUCGAAGUAGCGGCGCAGGUCCCGGGCCUCGCCCUCCCAA